rnacentral:lncRNA from 1 species
CAGGCCUUGAGGUUUAUAGCCAGAUCUCUCACCCUAUUCUAACUCUGCAUCCUAGUUCAUCAAGCUGUGAAGAGUCUCAGCCCCAGGCUCCUGAUGCCGUGAAUUCCACCAUACCACUCUCACCAUGGUGGUCUGUAUGCCCUCAGACCAAAGAUCAAGUUUUGAAAAUAAGAGACACCAGAGAGAAAUCAUUUGUACCCCCAUCAUUAAUGCUCACCCCAGCCAUUGCAUGACAGAGCAGUGCUUCUCAAAACCACCUCACAACUUCAGCUAAGACGGUUUCUGUUGUGUACUCCGAGACAGAAGAGAUCGGGCUCCCUCCCCAGCGUGUCAUCUUCUCCUUGAGCACAGGAGCUAAGAGAAUGAGAAGCACAUCACAAACUGGAAUGUGGCCUGAUCCUGUCCUGACACUUUCAGUGAACAGAAAGCAACCUGCUUGCUAAGAAUAUGGCUUCCUUUUUGCAGGGUGCUCUAAUCAGAUUGUGUUCUCUAACGUGUAUUUUAAAGUUCAGUGUCCAGUGUAUUGAAGGGAGAGUCUUUGGGGGUUGGUUAAUGGGAGUAUAGCCCCAUAGAAGAGGUA